rnacentral:rRNA from 1 species
AUGCGUCGAGGCAAUACACGGCUCGCUCUGUGUAUAACAGGCUAUGCCAAGAUUGGAGAGGGUGCCUUAUGCUUUUUGUAUAUGGAGGAGUUGGCGUCUUUGAAAUGCAAGAUUCGUGCUUGGCUGACUGUCCAACACCGGAUAUGGACAUCGGAUCGCCGAGCAAGACAUGGGCUGCAAGAUCAUCCGUCGGCUUGUUACACGUGCCUUCAAGAGGAAGACAAUGCGGAGCACAUUCACAUCCAAUGCUCAUACGCUAGACAAGUGUGGCACAAAUGCAUCAUUGGCCUCAACUUGGAGGUGGCUCACCCACAAGGACAAGAUAAUCUGAUGGACUGGUGGCUACUCGCAAGACAAAAUUUUACUCGAGCUGACAAGAGAGCCUUCGACACGGUUGUGACUGCAGUGGCUUGGUCGCUCUGGAAGCAAAGAAAUACUAGGGUGUUCAACCGGGUAAACCAACAGAAAACGGUGGACGAGCUCCAUAACCAUAUCAUGUCUGAGAUCAAAGAAUGGAAAGAUGCCGGGUUAGGUGCUGGUGCGUUAAAUAGAUUUGUGAGAGAGUAG